rnacentral:rRNA from 1 species
AAACGGCCGCGUUAGCGUGAGCGUGCUAAGGUAGCGUAAUAAAUAGCCUUUUAAUUGGAGGCCAGUGAAUGGCAAGACUAGGAAUACCUGUACCCUUUAUGAGAAAAGAACUUUUCAUCUGAGUGAAAAGACUCAGAUAACAAAGGAAGACGAAAAGACCCCGCGGAACUUUACCUUUUCUAGCCCCAGCUGCUUACAAACACGAAAGGCAAAAGGUUUGAUUGGGGCAAUCUCGGAACAAUCAAGCUUCCGAUCUACCUUAAACAAACAUUCAUAACUUGAUAAGGACAAAAAAGAAGUUACCCCGGGGAUAACAGCGUAAUCCAGCUCAAGAGUACGCAUCGAAAGCUGGGUUUGCGACCUCGAUGUUGGCUUAAGG